UACGUAGGGUGCAAGCGUUGUCCGGAAUUAUUGGGCGUAAAGAGCUCGUAGGUGGUUCGGUAAGUCGGAUGUGAAAUCUCCAGGCUCAACCUGGAGGGGUCAUUCGAUACUGCCGUGACUAGAGUUCGGUAGGGGAGUGUGGAAUUCCUGGUGGAGCGGUGAAAUGCGCAGAUAUCAGGAAGAACACCCGUGGCGAAGGCGGCUCUCUGGGACGGUACUGACGCUGAGACGCGAAAGCGUGGGGAGCGAACAGG
rnacentral:rRNA from 1 species